AUGUAGCUCAAUUGGUAGAGUGCUUGCUUAGCAUGCAAAAAGCCCUGGGUUCAAUCCCCAGCAU
rnacentral:tRNA from 1 species